AUUGAACGCUGGCGGAAUGUUUUACACAUGCAAGUCGAACGGUAGAGGGGCAACCCUCGAGAGUGGCGAACGGGUGAGUAAUGUAUCGGAACGUGCCUAGUUGUGGGGGAUAACGUAGCGAAAGUUACGCUAAUACCGCAUACGAUCUACGGAUGAAAGCGGGGGAUCGCAAGACCUCGCGCAAUUAGAGCGGCCGAUAUCAGAUUAGGUAGUUGGUGGGGUAAAGGCCUACCAAGCCGACGAUCUGUAGCUGGUCUGAGAGGACGACCAGCCACACUGGGACUGAGACACGGCCCAGACUCCUACGGGAGGCAGCAGUGGGGAAUUUUGGACGACGGGCGAAAGCCUGAUCCAGCCAUUCCGCGUGCAGGAAGAAGGCCUUCGGGUUGUAAACUGCUUUUGUACGGAACGAAACGCGCUGUGCUAAUACCACGGCGUAAUGACGGUACCGUAAGAAUAAGCACCGGCUAACUACGUGCCAGCCGCCGCGGUAA
rnacentral:rRNA from 1 species